GUUUUCUUUCAUGUCGGUAGCAAUCUUUGAACUGUAUUGGUCGAGGUGGGAUUCGAGUGCUGAGCUGAGCAUUAAUGGUGAGCAUGUAGCACCAAACAACACAACUUUGAAUCGGUAGGCUUGAAACACGCUUUCGGGAUCAUCAGGUUGGGAAAGCCACAGGAAUCGGGUACAGUCUCUGUCAUCUUCGUGGAGUUGAACAUGUAGAAAUGCCUUCUCUAUAUCGGUGGAAAAUGCAAAUGGGUGGGUUUGAAAGCGCAGAAGAAUUGAACACAUAUCAUUUAGCGAUGGUGGCCCUGGCAGAAGACAAUCAUUCAAACUUGGGUGGUCUGUUGACUGGCGGCAGCUACAGUCAUAUACAAUGCGAAUAGGUGUGGUGGUAGAGUCUUUUUUUACAGGGUGGUGGGGAAUGUAGUGGAUCUUAUCUGACAUGUUGGUCGUAGACACCUUUUCAAUGAAUGCUUUCUCUUCUUGUUCUGCAAUGAUGUCGCUAUAGGUCUUCAAGAGUUUGGGGUCCUGUCCAAGGCGACGAGCUAGAAGUCGUGUUCUCUUCGCACAUACAGCGUAGUUGGAUGGUAGUGGGCGAUACUCAGUCCUCCAUGGAAAUCUUGCACAAUAAGUGCCAUCAGGAGAGCGAGUGAUGUUAGUUUCCUUGAAGUUCCCAAUCGCAG